rnacentral:rRNA from 1 species
GAGCACGUAGGUGGGUUUGUAAGUCAGAUGUGAAAGCCUUCUGUUCAACGGAAGAAUUGCGUCUGAAACUGCGAGUCUUGAGUGUAGGAGGGGAGAAUGGAACUUCUGGUGGAGCGGUGAAAUGCGUAGAUAUCAGAAGGAACUCCGGUGGCGAAAGCGAUUCUCUGGCCUAUUACUGACACUCAGUGUGCGAAAGCUAGGGGAGCAAACGGGAUUAGAUACCCCGGUAGUCCUAACCGUAAACGAUGGGCACUAAGUAGAGGGGUUUU